CUGUGCAAAGGUAGCAUAAUCAUUAGUUUUUUAAUUGAAGGCUUGUAUGAAGGGUUGGACAAAGAAUAAUCUGUUUUUAUUUUUAUUUUUGAAUUUAACUUUUAAGUGAAAAGGCUUAAAUGAAUUUAAGGGACGAUAAGACCCUAUAAAUCUUUAUAUUAGAUUAUUUUUAGUUAUUUAAUAUUGUAAAUAUAAUAAUAAAGUGAUAUAUAUUGUGUUGGGGUGAUGAGAAUAUAAUAAAUAACUGUUCUAAAAUGAAAACAAAAUUAUUUGUGUGAAUAAUAGAUCCUUUAUUGAGAUUAAGAGUUUAAGUUACUUUAGGGAUAACAGCGUUAUUUUUUUUGAGAGUUCUUAUCGAAAAAAAAGUUUGCGACCUCGAUGUUGAAUUAAAAUUUCUUUGUGGUGUAGUUGUUACAAGAGAGAGUCUGUUCGACUUUUAAAUUUUU
rnacentral:rRNA from 1 species